AUGGAGAUAGGGAGGGAGGGGAAGAACAGGCUGCCGCCGCGCGAUGGAGUUCCUCAUAUAACCAAUCCACAGAUCUACUAUGAUUUAGGAGGUCGGAGAGAGUCUGUUGCCGGAAGGUUCGCCGGCGGAUGUUACAAGGCGAACACUGGUGGAGGUGACGCUGCAGGAGGGCACGGUUUUGAGCGGCGACGGGCGGAUCUGCUGUGCGUCAGGGGCGGUGGCCAUGAGCGGCGAAGGGCGAAUCUGCAGCACGGCGCAGGCCGCAGCAGACGGAAGGGGCAGCUCGCCUCCGACGUCUGA
rnacentral:rRNA from 1 species